rnacentral:rRNA from 1 species
AACGAACGCUGGCGGCAGGCCUAACACAUGCAAGUCGAGCGCGCCUUCGGGUGAGCGGCGGACGGGUGAGUAACGCGUGGGAAUAUGCCCUUCUCUACGGAAUAGUCCUGGGAAACUGGGGGUAAUACCGUAUACGCCCUUUGGGGGAAAGAUUAUCGGGGAAGGAUUUGCCCGCGUUGGAUUAGGUUGUUGGUGGGGUAAUGGCCUACCAAGCCGACGAUCCAUAGCUGGUUUGAGAGGAUGAUCAGCCACACUGGGACUGAGACACGGACCAGACUCCUACGGGAGGCAGCAGUGGGGAAUCUUAGACAAUGGGGGCAACCCUGAUCUAGCCAUGCCGCGUGAGUGAUGAAGGCCUUAGGGUUGUAAAGCUCUUUCAGCUGGGAAGAUAAUGACGGUACCAGCAGAAGAAGCCCCGGCUAACUCCGUG